UAGGUUGAGACAGAGAAGAUGGUCGUGACCAGCAGGUCUUGGCAAUGUCCAUGAGAGCAGUGAUCACUGGGAGUGAGAUGGGACCUGUGUGUCCACCUCGGAAUUGAGGAGGUCCAUAUAGGAUUUGAGACCAUGAUCUUUGGGUUCAAGAGGAUCAGAGGGUGGUGCCAAUUGUUUUGAUUGAAGCGCCUCCUGAUGGCUCGAUAGUUUGUGUUUCUUUUUUGGUUUAGUUAAGACAGAAGCAUCCGAGGAAGGUGCCAAAUGCUGUAGAGGUUUGGAUGAUGGCUGUGUUGCCUCCUGUUUUUUUCUUUUUGGUGGACAUGGCCGAGGUCCUUGAUCCCAAGGAUGCAGGGGCCAUACUUUGAGUAGCGGCACUAGAGGGCGGUGACGAAUAUAGUGAAGCAGGAGCUGUGGGCUCUGUAGGCACCAAGGCUGCGUAAACUGGCGACAGCUGAGGUGAGGGGCUGUGAGCCCAAGGAAGUAGAGGCCAAGGUCACGGCAGCCUGCAUGGUAGAAGAGGCAGAAGCUGCCCAUGGAGACUGGAGGACUCAUUCCCAGAGCCAAGAGCGCAAACGAGAGGCCCAGUUCUUUCUGGCCUGUUUGGUGAAUUUGGCACAGUAUACACAGAUUUCCACCUUUUCACUGAGGCAAAGGCUAUGUUUGUCCAUGGAGGGGAGCUUGGCCCUGCAAUGGGCAUCUUUGAAAGUUGUUUUACUGGCCAGAAGUGGCUGUUGGGAGAGAAAAAUGCUGACCCCUUGACCGUGUGGCUAGGAGGUGGUGGUGGUGGGGACACGAAGAAAAGCAAACUGCUAACAGAAAGAUUGAAGAACAAAACGAUAAUAGGAAGAAGGAGAUAAAACGAGAUGUUGAAGGGAACAAGAGAAGGAAAAUAUAUCAUUUUUUCUUUUUUAAAGCUCGGAGCAACUCACGAUCGAUACUAGUCUGUCAGCAGAUGAAGAAAGACUGAAGGAGUCUCCCAGGUCUAGUGUUAGAGGCUCCACAGCAGGACCUGUACCAAGUCAAGAGCUGUGAUCAGACUCAGCACACCACCACAGUUGUGGUGUUCCAUCAGUGGGAGUCAGCUUAUCCAUGCUUCUGUGUGUUUCAAAGAAAGCUCACCUACUCACAGAAUCUUUGCAAAAAAUAAUGAAACUGGAUCUCUAAGACCCAACUGCAGAUACAUGAAACAGCAGAUAUGGAGUCUGUGGAUAAUGAAGGCUAUCUGUACUUGUACCUCAUCCCCAUUAAUUCUAGUCGCUUUAAGAGAAGUAAGCAAUGACGAUUAAACUACUAUAGAAGAAGCAGUUCUCUAACGUUACCUGUUUCUCAACAUUUGGUUUGCUGAUCUGUAGAGUCUGAGGUCCAGCAAGCCUUGUACCUGGGGCUGCUAUAACAAUGCUGGUGAGUUGUGCCAUUGGAAACGUUUUGGCUAUGGUUGCUGUUUGCCCAUUCACAACACGGACUGGGUGUAUGGAAUUCUGAGAGGAGGGCAAAGAGGUGGGGGUGAACUUUGUUGUCAACAUCACAGGCCUCUGAAUGAGUUGAGGUGCAGCAAGCAUAGGAGGAGGUGGGGCUGGGGCUAUAGGAAUGUUAUUCUGGGUGAC